rnacentral:rRNA from 1 species
GUACUGAGACACGGACCAGACUCCUACGGGAGGCAGCAGUGAGGAAUAUUGGACAAUGGAGGCAACUCUGAUCCAGCCAUGCCGCGUGCAGGGAGACUGCCCUAUGGGUUGUAAACUGCUUUUAUACAGGAAGAAACCUACUUACGUGUAAGUAGCUGACGGUACUGUAAGAAUAAGGAUCGGCUAACUCCGUGCCAGCAGCCGCGGUAAUACGGAGGAUCCAAGCGUUAUCCGGAAUCAUUGGGUUUAAAGGGUCCG